rnacentral:rRNA from 1 species
ACUUUAACCCACUUAAGGGAACCUGUCCUUUAAUUCGAUAAUCCACGACAAUCUUAUUUAUUUUAGAACAAUUCAGCUUGUAUACCGUCGUCAUAAGUUAACCUUAAAAAGAAAAAAAGUUAACAAUAAAGAUAAAAUAAUUCUUUCUAACAAGUCAGAUCAAGGUGCAGCCAAUAAAUAAAGAAGAGAUGGGUUACAAUUAACAACUUCUAAUGGAAUCUUAAAAGAAAGUAAAGAAAGAAAUAGGACUUAAAAGUAAUUUGUAAAAACAAAUACCAAUGAAUAAGGAAACAAAGUGUGC